rnacentral:rRNA from 1 species
CCUAUAAUGGGCGAAGCCUGAUCCAGCCAUGCCGCGUGUGUGAAGAAGGUCUUCGGAUUGUAAAGCACUUUAAGUUGGGAGGAAGGGCAGUAAGUUAAUACCUUGCUGUUUUGACGUUACCGACAGAAUAAGCACCGGCUAACUCUGUGCCAGCAGCCGCGGUAAUCAUC